rnacentral:rRNA from 1 species
GACGGAGGGGGCUAGCGUUGUUCGGAAUUACUGGGCGUAAAGCGCGCGUAGGCGGCGCAUUAAGUCAGAGGUGAAAGCCCGGGGCUCAACCCCGGAAUUGCCUUUGAGACUGGUGUGCUUGAGUACGGAAGAGGUGAGUGGAAUUCCCAGUGUAGAGGUGAAAUUCGGUAGAUAUUGGGAAGAACACCAGUGGGCGAAGGCGGCUCACUGGUCCGGUAACCUGACGCUGAGGGUGACGAAAGGCGUGGGGAGCAAAACAGGAUUCGAGAUACCCCGUACGUC